GACGAACGCUGGCGGCGUGCUUAACACAUGCAAGUCGAACGGUGAAGCGCCUUCCUUUUUGGUGGGUGUGGAUGAGUGGCGAACGGGUGAGUAACACGUGAGUAACCUGCCCCCUUCUUCUGGAUAACCGCAUGAAAGUGUGGCUAAUACGGGAUAUUCUGGGUCUGUCGCAUGAUGGGUCUGGGAAAGAUAUUGUUUCGGUGGGGGAUGGGCUCGCGGCCUAUCAGCUUGUUGGUGGGGUGAUGGCCUACCAGGGCGGUGACGGGUCGCCGGCCUGGGAGGGUGGACGGUCUCACUGGGGCUGAGGCCAGGCCGGGACUCCUACGGGGGGCAGCAGUGGGGAGUAGGGCACAGUGGGGGAAAGCGUGAUGCAGCGGCGCCGCGUGAGGGAUGGAGGCCUGCGGGUUGUGAAGCUCUUUCGGCAGUGAAGCAGGCCUGCCUGGUUUGUGGGGGGGUUGACGGUAGCUGGAUAAGAAGCGCCGGCUAACUACGUG
rnacentral:rRNA from 1 species